rnacentral:rRNA from 1 species
CAAUAGCGUAUAUUUAAGUUGUUGCAGUUAAAAAGCUCGUAGUUGGAUUUCGGGUGGGUACCGCCGGUCUCCCAUUGGGUAUGUACUGGCGUGGCCCGCCUUGCUGUCGGGGACGGUCUCCUGGGCUUAAUUGCUCGGGAAUCGGAGUCGACGAUGUUACUUUGAGUAAAUUAGAGUGUUCAAAGCAAGCCUACGCUCUGAAUAUGAUAGCAUGGGAUAACACGACAGGACUCUGGCCUAUCGUGUUGGUCUGUAGGACCGGAGUAAUGAUUAAGAGGGACAGUCGGGGGCAUUCGUAUUCCAUUGUCAGAGGUGAAAUUCUUGGAUUUAUGGAAGACGAACAUCUGCGAAAGCAUUUGCCAAGGAUGUUUUCAUUAA